rnacentral:rRNA from 1 species
UACGGGGGGAGCAAGCGUUGUUCGGAUUUACUGGGCGUAAAGGGCGCGUAGGCGGUCAGCACAAGUCAGUUGUGAAAUCUCCGGGCUUAACCCGGAAAGGUCAACUGAUACUGUGCGACUAGAGUGCGGAAGGGGCAACUGGAAUUCUCGGUGUAGCGGUGAAAUGCGUAGAUAUCGAGAGGAACACCCGUGGCGAAGGCGGCUCUCUGGGACGGUACUGACGCUGAGACGCGAAAGCGUGGGGAGCGAACAGG